rnacentral:rRNA from 1 species
AACGAACGCUGGCGGCAUGCCUAACACAUGCAAGUCGAACGAGACCUUCGGGUCUAGUGGCGCACGGGUGCGUAACGCGUGGGAACCUGCCCUUAGGUUCGGAAUAACUCCCCGAAAGGGGUGCUAAUACCGGAUCUUGUCUUCGGACCAAAGAUUUAUCGCCUUUGGAUGGGCCCGCGUGGGAUUAGCUAGUUGGUAGGGUAAAAGCCUACCAAGGCGACGAUCCAUAGCUGGUUUGAGAGGAUGAUCAGCCACACUGGGACUGAGACACGGCCCAGACUCCUACGGGAGGCAGCAGUGGGGAAUAUUGGAAAGUGGGCGAAAGCCUGAUCCAGCAAUGCCGCGUGAGUGAUGAAGGCCGUAGGGUUGUAAAGCUCUUUUACCCGGGAUGAUAAUGACAGUACCGGGAGAAUAAGCUCCGGCUAACUCCGUG